UACGGAGGGUGCGAGCGUUGUCCGGAAUCACUGGGCGUAAAGGGCGCGUAGGUGGCGAAGCAAGUCAACGGUGAAAGCUCGACGCUCAACGUCGAGUCGGCCGUCGAUACUGCAUCGCUCGAGCACUGUAGAGGCAGAUUGGAAUUCCGGGUGUAGCGGUGGAAUGCGUAGAGAUCCGGAAGAACACCGGUGGCGAAGGCGGCCUGCUGGGCAGUAGCUGACGCUGAAGCGCGA
rnacentral:rRNA from 1 species